UUUGCAGAAAUGAAUGAAUGGAUGAAUACAUGAAUGAUUUUUUUAAAAGAGGGUGGAAGAACUGAUGCAUUUCCGAAAAAGGCAAAUAUCUGGGGAAGUAUGGCAGACCGCUUGUGCUGUUAUAACAUACCCAUCCCUGAUUCCACUAUUGGGACAUUUACAGGAAGAUAUCUUACAGUCAGGCAAGAGCAAACAAGAAUGUGCUCCCUCACUGAGUUGAAAGUGGAGAGAAAAAAAGAAAAACAGCCCCUGUAAAAUAAUUUGAAAUUCGGCUUUGCCUUUUUCCCAGUAACUGUGUUGUCUGGGGCCUGAGGGUGGGAGUGGAAAAACCCCAGUCAGUCUUGGAGCUGCGCGUCUCAGAAGUGGCUGUGAAGUCUCCCAGGCGGUCUGUGCUUUGUGUUUGUUUCAGACAUCAAGUAUCAAUUCGCCGUUCUCCUGCCGGCCAGUGGAGCCUUGGAACGUCAAAGCAUGAGACCCUCCACCACCAAGAGCUUGAAUGAGGAUACAAAAGUCAUUUUACGUCUCUUUGCCUUUUCUGUGUUUCACAGAGAAAAUGACAAUGGCAGAUUCAAGAACGAGGAUGUCUGAGCCAGGAAUGAAAAGGCAGAUGACAUACCUUUGGAUAUGCAAAGCUCGGUCUCCAACCUUGUCCCUAAACUGAGUGUGGAAUUGGAUCUACCCUAUAACUGAGAUAAUGAUGAGAAGGGUGGGAGUAGUCACAGUGUUCUCUGCAGCCAAAAAGAUUCAGCAGCUGCUACAACCUGAAGCCACGUUUGUCUCUAUUUCUCA
rnacentral:lncRNA from 1 species